AGCGAACGCUGGCGGCAGGCCUAACACAUGCAAGUCGAACGGACCCUUCGGGGUUAGUGGCGGACGGGUGAGUAAACGGGGGGAAGGGGCUUUUGGGUUGGAAUUAGCUCUGGGAAAGGGGGGGAAUGGCGAAAGGGGCCCUCGGGGGGAAGGUUUUAUCGCUUUUGGGGCGGCCCGCGUCUGAUUAGCUAGUUGGUGAGGUAACGGCUCACAAAGGCGACGAUCAGUAGCUGGUCUGAGAGGAUGACCAGCCACACUGGGACUGAGACACGGCCCAGACUCCUACGGGAGGCAGCAGUGGGGAAUCUUGCGCAAUGGGCGAAAGCCUGACGCAGCCAUGCCGCGUGAAUGAUGAAGGUCUUAGGAUUGUAAAAUUCUUUCACCGGGGACGAUAAUGACGGUACCCGGAGAAGAAGCCCCGGCUAACUUCGUG
rnacentral:rRNA from 1 species